rnacentral:lncRNA from 1 species
CCCCCCCCAACUACCCCGGGGGAACAAUUACGCCCCAGGCCCUCCCCCACGUCAUGAGGGGGGCCCUGGGGGCUGCCCCCCCCACAUUUGGGGGGCCCAGCCAAGCCCUUGUGGGGGCAGCAAGGAGGAGGGGGGCGCUUCACUGGCCCCAGUCCUCCCAGUAAGCCUCCCCAGUACUCCCAGUACCCUCCUAGUAUUCCCAGUUAGCCCUGCUAGGCGCCCCUCCCAGUGCUCCGAGUUCCCUCCAGCCCUCCCCCAGUCCAUCCCAGUCCACUCCCAGUGCCAUCCCAGUGCCAUCCCAGUCCCCUCCCAGUCCUUCCCAGUCCUCCCAGUGCCCUCCCCACCCGCGUACCGCCGUGGGGUUACCACGGCAACAAGCGCGGGGCCGCCAGGAGCCGCGUGGCUGCGGGCCGAAGCUGAUUGGCGGCCGCCUAACCAAUCAGCGGCCGCCUGGGGCGGGGCCGAGCCGAGGGCUGGACGAAUAAGCGCGGGGACGAGCUAAGGGCGGGAAGGAGUUACGGGCAGGAAGCCGCGGAGCAUUAUGGGAGUUGUAGUCCGGAAGCGGGGCGGGGCUUUCGUUUCCCACAGAGCCCUGCGGCGGGGGAAGAUGGCGGCGAGCAGCGGGGCUGAGGCGAGCGGGGCGGCGGGGCCGGUGUCGUUCGGCUUCAGCCGGAAGGCGGAGAGGCGGCGGGUGCUGGCGGCCGGGCCUUGCGCCGAGCCCGGCGGCGACGCCGGCCCCGACACCGAUUUCCUCACGGCGGUGGAGGACCGGGAGCUGCUCAGCGCCAGGCCGGCCCCGCCCCCUCCGAAGGAGCUGGUGAUCCCGCUGCUCCCCUCCCACCGCUGGAGGAACCCCGAGCCGCCUCGCCACGCCCCCUCGGCCGCAGGCCACGCCCCCUCGGCCCCAGGCCACGCCCCCUCCGGAGACGAGGCUCCUGCCGCCGGCCACGCCCCUUCCACGACCGGCCACGCCCCCUCCGCGACAGACCACGCCCCCUCGCCGAGCCCCGCCCCCGACCCCGUUGCCGUGGAGACGCAGGCGGUGCGGGAGCUGCUGGAGGGUGAGUGAUGGGGGGGGGGCGGUUUUGGGGGGGGGUCCUGGGGGAGUCGGGGGAGGGCUGAGCCCCCCC